rnacentral:lncRNA from 1 species
UUCGCUAUCGGUGCCGGCAAGUACGAGACAACUUUGUUUGCUCUUCCGGGCCGACCUUGAUUGGGUCGUUGGAAGACGGAUUCGCCAUUAAGGUUAGUUUCUUCAUUCUCACCUACAUUGAUCCACCAUUUGAAUUUCCGGAGAUGCAUGCACCUCCUAGCUAGCAACCAAUGAAAGACCCGAGUAACUUUCAACUCUUUGCAUUCUUUGUUGUUGUUGGACUGAAUAUCCUUGGACGGUUGGACCAAGAACCUAUCAACCUACUACGUGCAACCUUUGCGUUUGGGAGCUUAUCCCAAAUGGAAUGGGAUAGGGCAUCUCCAACACCCCCCCCCCCCCAAUGUAUACAUUGUAUUUAUUUAUGGGCCGUAAUGUGGAAGUCAGCCAUCCAAUCAUGCCUGCAUAUAUUUUAAACCGCAUUUGAUUAAAAUGGGCAAUUUCCAUGUAAAUCAGACCAUACAUUUUCGACCUAUUUCAGUAAACAAAAGUGACCGAACCCUAGCCUAGUCUAAAUAUUCGUGCGCGUUUAUUCAGACCCAGAGCUAACCGUCCAUGGCGCGGAGGUGCAUGCAUCUGCAUCCAUUGCCGUUCUACA